rnacentral:rRNA from 1 species
GAUGAACGCUGGCGGCGUGCCUAAUACAUGCAAGUCGAGCGAACAGACGAGGAGCUUGCUCCUCUGACGUUAGCGGCGGACGGGUGAGUAACACGUGGAUAACCUACCUAUAAGACUGGGAUAACUUCGUGAAACCGGUGCUAAUACCGGAUAAUAUAUUGAACCGCAUGGUUCAAUAGUGAAAGACGGUUUUGCUGUCACUUAUAGAUGGAUCCGCGCGGCAUUAGCUAGUUGGUAAGGUAACGGCUUACCAAGGCAACGAUGCGUAGCCGACCUGAGAGGGGGAUCGGCCACACUGGAACUGAGACGCGGUCCAGACUCCGACGGGAGGCAGAGGUAGGGAAUCUUGCGAGAUGGGCGAAAGCCUGACGGAGCAACGCCGCGUGAGUGAUGAAGGUCUUCGGAUCGUAAAACUCUGUUAUUAGGGAAGAACAAAUGUGUAAGUAACUAUGCACGUCUUGACGGUACCUAAUCAGAAAGCCACGGCUAACUACGUG